GGGAGUGUGGCUUAAUGGUACAGCACUUGCCCUGUAUGUAUGAAGCCCUGGGUUCUAGUCCUAGCAUCACCA
rnacentral:tRNA from 1 species